rnacentral:rRNA from 1 species
AGGACGAACGCUGGCGGCGUGCUUAACACAUGCAAGUCGAGCGGAAAGGCCCUUCGGGGUACUCGAGCGGCGAACGGGUGAGUAACACGUGAGCAAUCUGCCCUUAGCUUCGGGAUAGCCCCGGGAAACCGGGAUUAAUACCGAAUAUGACCUCGGCCGACAUCGGCUUUGGUGGAAAGUUUUUCGGCUAGGGAUGAACUCGCGGCCUAUCAGCUUGUUGGUGGGGUAAUGGCCUACCAAGGCGACGACGGGUAGCCGGCCUGAGAGGGCGACCGGCCACACUGGGACUGAGACACGGCCCAGACUCCUACGGGAGGCAGCAGUGGGGAAUAUUGCGCAAUGGGCGAAAGCCUGACGCAGCGACGCCGCGUGGGGGAUGAAGGCUUUCGGGUUGUAAACCCCUUUCAGCAGGGACGAAGCGAGAGUGACGGUACCUGCAGAAGAAGCGCCGGCUAACUACGUGCCAGCAGCCGC